GGAGCGUCAAGGAGGUGCUGUUAAAUUCGGCUCAUGGAAGAGAAGCAUCAAUCAAACUGUUGCAGAUUACAAGGCCCACCCCUCUCCCCCGUCUCAUUGACGGCCGACCGGUGUACAUGGUGAGACGUCUCCUGAAGGUUUGACCUCGUGGCAAGAGAUUCCAGUACCUGGUUAACUGGGAGGGUUAUGGCCCGGAGGAGAGGUGCUGGGUCUCGCUAGGGAUAUCCUGGACCCAGGCCUCAUCUCUGAGUUCCAGCACCGGCACCCCGCUCAACCAGGUGGCGAAUCGCAUCUCUGCAUGUCUGGCAGACAUAUCAGUGUGGAUGACGGAUCACCUCCUCAAGCUGAACCUCGGCAAGACGGAGCUGCUCUUCCUCCCGGGGAAGGACUGCCCGUUCCAUGAUCUCGCCAUCACGGUUGACAACUCCCUUGUGUCCUCCUCCCAGAGUGCGAAGAGCCUCGGCGUGACCCUGGACAACACCCUGUCGUUCUCCACUAACAUCAAGG
rnacentral:lncRNA from 1 species